rnacentral:rRNA from 1 species
GGGCCCGCACAAGCGGAGGAGCAUGUGGUUUAAUUCGAUGAUACGCGAGGAACCUUACCCGGGCUUGAACGUAAGACCGAUAAUGAGGAAACUCAUUAGCCUACGGGGGUCUUGCGAGGUGCUGCAUGGUUGUCGUCAGCUCGUGCCGUGAGGUGUUAGGUUAAGUCCUGCAACGAGCGCAACCCUUACUCAUAGUUGCCAGCACGUGAAGGUGGGGACUCUAUGGGAACUGCCUACGCAAGUAGCGAGGAAGGUGGGGAUGACGUCAAAUCAGCACGGCCCUUAUGUUCGGGGCUACAAACACGUGCUACAAUGGCAUAUACAGAGGGCAGCUACUACGUGAGUAGAUGCAAAUCUAUAAAGUAUGUCUCAGUUCGGAUUGGAGUCUGUAACUCGACUCUAUGAAGUUGGAUUCGCUAGUAAUCGCGCAUCAGCCAUGGCG